UCCAUGAUGGCUCAGAUGGUAAAGAAUCUGCCUGCAAUGCAGGAGACCCCGGGUUCAAUUCCUGGGUCUGGAA
rnacentral:tRNA from 1 species